rnacentral:rRNA from 1 species
UACGUAGGGGGCAAGCGUUGUCCGGAUUUAUUGGGCGUAAAGAGCGUGUAGGCGGCUAGGUAGGUGGGUUGUGAAAACUGGAGGCUCAACCUUCAGACGUCGACCCAAACCCCCUGGCUAGAGUCCGGAAGAGGAGAGUGGAAUUCCUGGUGUAGCGGUGGAAUGCGUAGAGAUCCGGAAGAACACCGGUGGCGAAGGCGGCCUGCUGGGCAGUAGCUGACGCUGAUGCGCGACAGCGUGGGGAGCAAACAGG